UACGGGGGGGGCAAGCGUUGUUCGGAAUUACUGGGCGUAAAGGGCUCGUAGGCGGCCAACUAAGUCGGAUGUGAAAUCCCCAGGCUCAACUUGGGAACUGCAUCCGAUACUGGAUGGCUUGAAUUCGGGAGAGGGAUGCAGAAUUCCAGGUGUAGCGGUGAAAUGCGUAGAUAUCGGGAGGAACACCAGUGGCGAAGGCGGCUACCUGGCCCAUUCUUGACGCUGAGGCGCGAAAGCUAGGGGAGCAAACGGG
rnacentral:rRNA from 1 species